CCGUAACCGAAGUCGCACACUGUCGAGUUUCGCUAGAAAUGGCUGCCCAUUCCUUGGCCAAUCUUCCAUGGACGACCCAAGCAAUCACUCAAUCCAAUCUUCACGGAGCGAAACCCAAAUCUCUAUUACCUCACUCUCUUAAAUCAUACACUUCACAAAACCCAUCAUGGCUAGGCAGCGCCACCACCCACAUGACAAACCUCUCUUUCCAAUCCUCAAAUCUCAGACCCUACUUCCCUGCCCGCCACCCCAUCGCUGCCACGGUCGCCUCCAGUCUUCCCACUGCGAAUCCAGAGAGAUUUGCUUCUAUUGAGAAAGUUCCCAAGUGGUCAUGGAGGGCAAUUAAGGCAUUUGCUAUGGCUGAACUGGAAGCUAGGAAGCUCAAGUAUGCAAAUACUGGGACUGAAGCUCUUCUCAUGGGGGUCUUGAUUGAAGGGACUAGUCUAGCUGCGAAGUAUUUAUGGACAAAUGGAAUUACUCUUUUCAAAGUGCGUGAAGAAACUAUCAAGCUACUUGGAAAGGCUGACAUGUAUUUUUUCCCUCCUGAGCAACCUCCAUUGACUGAAUCAGCUCAGAAAGCCCUUGAUUGGGCUGUUGAUCAUAAAUUAAAAUCGGGGGAUACUGGGGAAGUUACAACAAGUGAUCUGCUUCUUGGCAUUUGGUCAGAAGUGGAGUCCCCAGGUCACAAGAUACUGGCUAAACUAGGCUUCAGUGAUGAGAAAGCCAAAGAACUGGAGUCUUUGAGUACUGGACCUGGGUUUAUAGAUGGAUGAUACCUACAGUGUUCUUAAUGAGCGGUUAUGUAAUUCUUAAAAAUCAUAGGUCCAAGGGUGGUAGUUUAAGGUUUGACUUAGUUGCAAAUCUUGUCAUUCUUGUAUGGAUACAAUCUUUUCAAGGAAUUAUCACAAGUUGGCAUUUGUGUC
rnacentral:misc_RNA from 1 species